rnacentral:misc_RNA from 1 species
UGUGGGAGCGGGCUUGCCCGUGAUAGCGGUGUGCCAGGCAACAAAUCUAUGCCAGGUAGACCGCCAUCGCGGGCAAGCCCGCUCCCACA